AUUGUUUCUCAGCCUUUUGACUAAGAUCAAGUGUAGUAUUUGUGCUUAUCAGUUUAAUAUCUGAUACAUCUUCUAUCUGAGGAUAAUACAUUGAAUGGAUUUUUGGAGCAGGGUAAUGGAAUAAGAGCUUACUCCAGUCACUCCCUUCAUUGACCUGGUAUUUCAGUACCUCCAGGAAUGGUACACCCCUC
rnacentral:snRNA from 1 species